rnacentral:rRNA from 1 species
UCAGAGGGAGGUAGAANUUCCACGUGUAGCAGUGAAAUGNGUAGAGAUGUGGAGGAAUACCGAUGGCGAAGGCAGCCUCCUGGGAUANCACUGACGUUCAUGCCCGAAAGCGUGGGUAGCAAACAGGAUUAGAUACCCUGGUAGUCCACGCCCUAAACGAUGUCGAUUAGCUGUUGGGCAGCAUGACUGCUUAGUAGCGAAGCUAACGCGUGAAAUCGACCGCCUGGGGAGUACGGUCGCAAGAUUAAAACUCAAAGGAAUUGACGGGGACCCGCACAAGCGGUGGAUGAUGUGGAUUAAUUCGAUGCAACGCGAAGAACCUUACCUGGUCUUGACAUGUACGGAACCCUCCAGAGACGGAGGGGUGCCUUCGGGAGCCGUAACACAGGUGCUGCAUGGCUGUCGUCAGCUCGUGUCGUGAGAUGUUGGGUNNNNNNNNNNNNNCGAGCGCAACCCUUGUCAUUAGUUGCCAUCAUUAAGUUGGGCACUCUAAUGAGACUGCCGGUGACAAGCCGGGGGAAGGUGGGGAUGACGUCAAGUCCUCAUGGCCCUUAUGACCAGGGCUUCACACGUCAUACAAUGGUCGGUACAGAGGGUAGCCAAGCCGCGAGGCGGAGCCAAUCUCACAAAACCGAUCGUAGUCCGGAUUGCACUCUGCAACUCGAGUGCAUGAAGUCGGAAUCGCUAGUAAUCGCAGGUCAGCAUACUGCGGUGAAUACGUUCCCGGGUCU